GGAUGUGAGGGUGAUCUGGCUGAGACAUCUGUCACCCCAUGGAUCGCCAGGGUUGAUUCCGCUGAUCUGGCUGACUAGGCGGGUGUCCCCUUCCUCCCUCUCCACUCCACGUGUAUCCCUUCGGAAGCUGUGCGCUCAGUCGAAGAGGAUGGCCUUCCCUGGUCUUUGGACUGGUCUUUGGUCGAGGAUGUAUGAGUAGUUGCACUCCCCUGCUAGAACCUCCAAACAAGGUCUUAAGGUCCAUUUGAAAAGGUGUCUAGAGCUGAUAUGAUGGAAAUCUUAGAUGGAAAACAAACUA
ensembl:misc_RNA 7SK 7SK RNA